UCUCCUUUCGAAGUGCAUUAGCCCUCACCAAGCUUCCAAUGGUAUUGAAAGCCAGCUUCAAAUCAUCCAAAGGAUUUCCAGGUACCACCCUCUUGUACAAAUAGCUAUCGAAUGUCAUCUUCUGCACAUACUCAUCUGCGCACAUCUCCACGAACGCUUCUCUUGCUGGGUUUGAUCGGUAGAACACUUUCUGCAACACAUCCAGCACCUUGUAAGUUGGCCAAUAUGUCUUGUCCCAUUUCUCCAAGUACUUCCUCAGGUCACUUUCAUCCACCAUCCUCUUCCCAUUCUCUGACCCCUCGACGAUUGCCUCUGCGCACAUUCUUCCACUCUUUGCUGCAAAAUAGAUGCCUUCGCCUGAGCAUUUCGUCACAUACCCUGCUGCAUCCCCUACUAGAGCUACUCUGUCCAGUAACCUGCGAGGCCUCGGGUGUUCUGGUAUUGGGUGUGCUUCCACUCGUAUAAU
rnacentral:lncRNA from 1 species